rnacentral:rRNA from 1 species
UACGUAGGUGGCAAGCGUUGUCCGGAUUUACUGGGCGUAAAGCGUAUGCAGGCGGACCUUUAAGUAGGAAGUGAAAGGUGGGAGCUCAACUCUCACACUGCUCCCUAUACUGGGGGGUCUUGAGUACCGGAGAGGACAAGGGAACAGGUCGUGUAGCGGGUGAAAAUGCGUUGAGAUGACUUGGAACACCAAUGGCGAAAGCACUUGUCUGGACGGAGACUGACGCUGAGAUACGAAAGCCAAGGGAGCGAACAGG